AUGCCUCUCCCCUCCAUGUCUCCUAUCCUGGCAGUCACUGAGUUUGGCCACCUGACUUCUUCAUCUCCACUGUCACCACCGUUGUCUAGCCUUGGCACUGUUGAUGUCUGGAGCCAGAUAACUCCGGUGGGUGGGGUGUGCGUGUAUCUGCCAGAUGGCAGUUGUACCCCUCUAGUUGUGACGACUAAAAAAUGUCUGCGUGUUUUUCCAGGAGAGUCCUGAGGCCGUUCUUUAAAGCUUUUUAAAUAGAGAGAAAUCCAUCCAUCAUCUGCUGGUUUGCUCGCCAGAUACCUGCAAAGCCUGGGCUGCGCUAGGCCAAAGCUAGGAGCCAGGAACUCAAUCCAAGGCUCCCAUGUGAGUAGCAGGGACCCUACUUGCAUGGUUUCCUGCUGCCUUCCAGGAUACACGUUAGCAGGAAUGCUGGAGUCGGGAGAGGAGCCAGGACGCCCACCCAGGCACUCUGAUGUGGGCUUCAGACAUCCUGACUGGCGUGGUAACCGCUAGGUCAAGUGCCUGCCCCAAAGGAAUCGUUUCAGAACACAGACACGGUUUACCAGUAAGUGGAAUCAGCCUCAGGGUCCGUCAGCGGUGAAUGAAGAAACUGACAGAACGGUGCAGUGGACUGCUAUGAUUCCACAAUAAGAAGGAACCACCAUUGGUGCAUUCAGCAACUUAGAUUGAUCUGAGGGUCGUUAUACUGAGUGAAAAAGGGCAGUCUCAGAGGUGGCCUGUGCUGUGAUCUGUUUCUGUUUCAUAUAUGGAAUCAAUAUGAGGAGGUUGCCAGUGGUGCAAAUGUGUGGCAAAGGAGUGGGGGAAAUUUCUCUGGAGUGAUGGAGGAAUUCUACAUCCUGAUUGUGGUGGUUGUACAGGUCUGUGGGUAAGAUGAAACCUCAUGGAACUGUAUACACACACACACACACACACACACACACACAUAUGCUUCCUGAUUGUGGUGGUUAUAUAGGUCUGUGGGUAUGAUGAAACCUCAUAGAACUACACACACACACGUCCUGAUUGUGUGGUAGUUACACAGGUCUGUGGGUAUGAUGAAACCUCACAGAACUGUGUAUAUACACACACACACGUCCUGAUUGUGUAGUUAUACAGGUCUGUGGGGAUAACAAAACCUCACAGAACUGUGUACACACACACACGCUUCCUGAUUGUAUGGUAGUUACACAGGUCUGUGGGUAUGAUGAAACCUCACAGAACUGUGUACACA
rnacentral:lncRNA from 1 species